rnacentral:rRNA from 1 species
UGAGCAAUCUGCCCUUCUCAUCGGAAUAAGCGUUGGAAACGACGUCUAAUGCCGAAUACGACCUCCUUUCGCAUGAUCGGAGGUGGAAAGCUCCGGCGGAGAAGGAUGAGCUCGCGGCCUAUCAGCUAGUUGGUGUGGGUAAUGGCCCACCAAGGCGACGACGGGUAGCCGGCCUGAGAGGGUGACCGGCCACACUGGGACUGAGACAUGGCCCAGACUCCGUAGGGAGG